rnacentral:rRNA from 1 species
GAUGAACGCUGGCGGCGUGCUUAACACAUGCAAGUCGAACGGAAAGGCUCCUGCUUGCAGGGGUACUCGAGUGGCGAACGGGUGAGUAACACGUGGGUGAUCUGCCCUGCACUUCGGGAUAAGCCUGGGAAACUGGGUCUAAUACCGGAUAGGACGAUGGUUUGGAUGCCAUUGUGGAAAGUUUUUCGGUGUGGGAUGAGCUCGCGGCCUAUCAGCUUGUUGGUGGGGUAAUGGCCUACCAAGGCGUCGACGGGUAGCCGGCCUGAGAGGGUGUACGGCCACAUUGGGACUGAGAUAGGGCCCAGACUCCUACGGGAGGCAGCAGUGGGGAAUAUUGCACAAUGGGCGCAAGCCUGAUGCAGCGACGCCGCGUGGGGGAUGACGGCCUUCGGGUUGUAAACUCCUUUCGCUAGGGACGAAGCGCAAGUGACGGUACCUGGAGAAGAAGCACCGGCUAACUACGUG